rnacentral:rRNA from 1 species
UACGUAGGGUGCAAGCGUUGUCCGGAAUUAUUGGGCGUAAAGAGCUCGUAGGCGGUCUGUUGCGUCGGCUGUGAAAACCCGGGGCUCAACCCCGGGCCUGCAGCCGAUACGGGCAGACUAGAGUUCGGCAGGGGAGACUGGAAUUCCUGGUGUAGCGGUGAAAUGCGCAGAUAUCAGGAGGAACACCGAUGGCGAAGGCAGGUCUCUGGGCCGAUACUGACGCUGAGGAGCGAAAGCGUGGGGAGCAAACAGG